AGAGACCCACCUGCUCGGACCUCCAGCCCCACACCAUGACGCCCAGGAUGAUUCUCCUUCUGUGUUCCCUGGUCCUCCUGGUGGAAGCUGACCUCGACAACAGCGAUUCAAGUCUUCAAUCAACGUCAACAGAUAAAGACUCCACAUCCGAUGAAGCCAGAACAGGUACUAUUACUAUGACUAUAAAGAUACUAUUACUAUACAGGUACUAUUACUAUUACUAUAAAGAUACUAUUACUAUACAGGUACUAUUGCUAUUACUAUACAGGUACUAAUAUUAAACAGGUACUAUUACUAUCAUUAUACAGGUAGCAUUACUCAUAUUAUACAGGUACUAUUACUAAUACUAUAAAGAUACUAUUACUAUACAGGUACUAUUGCUAUUACUAUACAGGUACUAUUGCUAUUACUAUACAGGUACUAUUACUAUAAAGAUACUAUUACUAUACAGGUACUAUUACUAUUACUAUAAAGAUACUAUUACUAUACAGGUACUAUUGCUAUUACUAUACAGGUACUAAUAUUAAACAGGUACUAUUACUAUUACUAUAAAGAUACUAUUACUAUACAGGUACUAUUACUAUAAAGAUACUAUUACUAUACAGGUACUAUUGCUAUUACUAUACAGGUACUAAUAUUAAACAGGUACUAUUACUAUCAAUAUACAGGUAGCAUUACUCAUAUUAUACAGGUACUAUUACUAAUACUAUACAGGUACUAUUACUAAACAGGUACUAUUACUAUACAGGUACUAUUACUAUUCUAUACAUGUACUAUUACAAUUACUAUACAGGUGCUAGUACUAUCAUUAUAUAGGUACUAUAACGCUUACUAUACAGGUACUAUUACUAUAGAGGUCCUAUUAGUAUUAUUACACAGGUAGUUAUACUAUACAGAUACUAUUAUUAUUAAUAUUUCUCUACAUGUACUAUUACUAUUGCUAUACAGGUGAUAUUACUUUAUAGGUACUAUUACUAUACUAUGAGUACAACAGUACUAUUACUAUACUAUAAACAAUAAUACACCCAGUAUAUUGAAUAAUACCCCCUUUUUACACAAUAUUACACAAUAUUACCCCUGUAUAUAUAAUGCUAGACAACAUAUACACAAUAAUAGACAACGUAUACUCAAUGCUAAAACAACAUUUCUAUCUCCAUACACAAAAAUACUCAAUGCAAAAAAAUCCUCUCUGAUUGUCUCUGAUAUCUUUCAAUCCAGCUCCAGCAGCCAAUCAGGUUUAUGGAACUGAUGCAGCUGCCAGAAGCACAGAGGACGAAGGCGAAGAGGGCCCGGACUCUGACGAGGCCGGCGGCAAACCGCGCUCGGCCAAGCAGCCCCCGGCGGUGAAGCCGCCCGCCCAGCCCCGCCCCCCACAGCCCC
ensembl:lncRNA